AACGAACGCUGGCGGCAUGCCUAACACAUGCAAGUCGAACGAGACCUUCGGGUCUAGUGGCGCACGGGUGCGUAACGCGUGGGAACCUGCCUUGAGGUUCGGAAUAACUUCCCGAAAGGGAUGCUAAUACCGGAUGAUGUCUUCGGACCAAAGAUUUAUCGCCUUUAGAUGGGCCCGCGUUGGAUUAGCUAGUUGGUGGGGUAAAGGCCUACCAAGGCGACAAUCCAUAGCUGGUCUGAGAGGAUGAUCAGCCACACUGGGACUGAGACACGGCCCAGACUCCUACGGGAGGCAGCAGUGGGGAAUAUUGGACAAUGGGCGAAAGCCUGAUCCAGCAAUGCCGCGUGAGUGAUGAAGGCCUUAGGGUUGUAAAGCUCUUUUACCAGGGAUGAUAAUGACAGUACCUGGAGAAUAAGCUCCGGCUAACUCCGUGCCAGCCGCCGCAGUAA
rnacentral:rRNA from 1 species